UGCACAUAUGCAGUAUUAUCAUCUGUGCCAGUUGAUGCCUGUUCAUCUUUGCAUGUUGCUGUUCUUGUUUUAGGUACACCGUGUCAGAGGUCAAUGUGGCACUUCUGAGAAAGAGGGGAUUGGUGAAGUUGAUGUCCAGCCCCAGGAGGGCUCGCCCCCUGUAUCAUCAACAGACCCUGCCGGUGGGACCGAACCGAGAUCAGAGCGUCACGCAUCCAGAGCUGCGCCGAAUGACUCUGCUUGUGAGUGUACAGUCCAUAAGCUGGUUUUUGAACUGGUGAGAAUUGACAAAUGCUGGAUAUGCCAUUCACCUUUGACAUCUAUCAAAUGGCACGGUGUAAGAU